GACGAACGCUGGCGGCGUGCCUAAUACAUGCAAGUCGAACGGAAAGGCCCUGCUCUUGUGGGGUGCACGAGUGGCGAACGGGUGAGUAAAACGUGAGUAAAAUGCCCUUGUCAGAGGGAGAAAACCAGGAGACAGGGGCGAAUAUAGGGUAGGAGCUACUGCAGCGUGGUGGGGGAUGGAAAGUUUCGGCGGUUGGGGAUGGAAUGGCGGCUUAUCCGCUUGUUGGUGGGGUAGUGGCUUACCAAGGUUUUGACGGGUAGCCGGCCUGGGAGAGUGACCGGCCACAUGGGGCCUGAGGGACGCACCAGACGCCUACGGGCGGCAGCAGUCGGGAAUAUUGCACAAUGGGCGGAAGCCAGAUGCAGCAACGCCGCGAGCGGGAUGACGUCUUUCGGGGUGUAAACCGCUUUCUCCUGAGCCGUAGCGUUAUUGACGGUAAUGGGUAAAGAAGCACCGGCUAACUACGUG
rnacentral:rRNA from 1 species